GGGCUGCCAUUAGCUGAGCAUUUCCUUCACUACAAGCCUUUGUUUGCCAACCACUCUUGCUUGUGAGAGUGGUUCAAAACCUACAGGUGCCCUCCUGCCCUUUA
rnacentral:vault_RNA from 1 species